rnacentral:rRNA from 1 species
GACCGGCGCACGGGUGAGUAACACGUAUCCAACCUGCCGUCUACUCUUGGACAGCCUUCUGAAAGGAAGAUUAAUACAAGAUGGCAUCAUGAGUCCGCAUGUUCACAUGAUUAAAGGUAUUCCGGUAGACGAUGGGGAUGCGUUCCAUUAGAUAGUAGGCGGGGUAACGGCCCACCUAGUCUUCGAUGGAUAGGGGUUCUGAGAGGAAGGUCCCCCACAUUGGAACUGAGACACGGUCCAAACUCCUACGGGAGGCAGCAUG